UGAUAUCAUUCCUCUUCAGGACCUUCGUAUCAGUGUGUGCCUGUUACAACUGCAGCAAUGAAUUUUUUCACAAUUCUCAUUCCUAUCCUACUUUCUGCAACUCGUGCCACUGCACAGAACAAGGACCCCUGCAUGGAAUCCACAAUUUUUCAAACGAUGAUUGAGACGGAAUCAUGUAAAGGUCUGUUUAACGAUGUGGAUAUUGCAGAUAAGGUGAAUACAACAACAAAUUAUAUGCGUUUCGGACCAUUUGCCUUGUAAGUUUAAAUUGCUAUUUUUCAUAUUUAUGUACAACCAUCAAGAAGGUACAUAUGCACAUCUGUAUUAGUAUCGAACAAUUAAUCACUAAUUC